UACGUAGGUGUCAAGCGUUGUCCGGAUUUAUUGGGCGUAAAGCGCCCGCAGGCGGCUUGCCAAGUUCGAUGUGAAAUCUCCCGGCUCAACUGGGAGGGUGCAUCGAAAACUGGCAGGCUUGAGGCAGGGAGAGGGAUGUGGAAUUCCAGGUGUAGUGGUGAAAUGCGCAGAUAUCGGGAGGAACACCAAUGGCGAAGGCAGCUCGCUGGGACGGUACUGACGCUGAGGCGCGAAAGCGUGGGGAGCAAACAGG
rnacentral:rRNA from 1 species